UAAGGAAUAUUGGUCAAUGGAGGCAACUCUGAACCAGCCAUGCCGCGUGCAGGAAGAAGGCCCUAUGGGUCGUAAACUGCUUUUGAACAAGAGAAAACCCCGGUACGUGUACUGGGUUGAUAGUAUUGUUAGAAUAAGCAUCGGCUAACUUCGUGCCAGCAGCCGCGGUAAGACGAAGGAUGCAAGCGUUAUCCGGAUUCAUUGGGUUUAAAGGGUGCGUAGGCGGACUGAUAAGUCAGUGGUGAAAUCUCUCGGCUUAACCGAGAAACUGCCAUUGAUACUGUUAGUCUAGAGUACAGAUGAUGUGGGCGGAAUAUGACAUGUAGUGGUGAAAUACUUAGAUAUGUCAUAGAACACCGAUUGCGAAGGCAGCUCACAAAACUGUAACUGACGCUGAGGCACGAAAGUGCGGGGAUCAAACAGGAUUAGAUACCCGAGUAGUCCCUGAGCGGGCUGGCAAGGCGCAU
rnacentral:rRNA from 1 species